GGGCAUUUGGUCUAACUGGUUAAGACGCCCAUAGCCAUAUUGAAUUAUAUUUUUCAAUAUGAUUGUGGGAAAUAAAAGUUCGAAUCUUUUAAUGCCUA
rnacentral:tRNA from 1 species